GUGCUUGCUUCAGCAGCACAUAUACUAAAAUUGGAAUGAUGCAGAGAGGAUUAGCAUGGCCCUGAGCAAGGAUGACACACAAAUUCAUGAAGCGUUCCAUAUUUUU
rnacentral:snRNA from 1 species